GGAUCCUUGUCGACCUGGUGUCAGAGAAGCUGUUCAACUAUGUAACAAAUGCUGGAGUUAAGAUAUUCAAUGAGGUGAAUGCAAGGAAGCCAGAUGAGAUGAACGUAUUUAAGGGAGUGACUAAGAAUCGUCUCUUCAUGUUGAUAGUUGGACUAACUAUUGUGCUCCAGGUGAUUAAAAUAUUCUUCCUUGGGAAGUUCUUUUCAAUUGUUAGGCUUAACUGGAA